rnacentral:rRNA from 1 species
ACCACACGAAGCUGGAAUCGCUAGUAAUCGCGAAUCUGAAUGUCGCGGUGAAUACGUUCCCGGGUCUUGUACACACCGCCCGUCACACCAUGGGAGUCAGCAACGCCCGAAGUCAGUGACCUAACCGAAAGGGAGGAGCUGCCGAAGGCGGGGCCGGUAACUGGGGUGAAGUCGUAACAAGGUACC